rnacentral:rRNA from 1 species
UACGUAGGGGGCGAGCGUUGUCCGAAUUUACUGGGCGUAAAGCGCGCGUAGGCGGGGGGUUAAGUGAGAGGUGAAAGGCUGGGGCUCAACCCCAUGCAGUGCCUCUCAUACUGGCCUUCUUGAGGGCGGUAGGGAGAAGUGGAAUGGCUGAUGUAGCGGUGAAAUGCGUAGAUAUCAGUCGGAACACCGGUGGCGAAGGCGGCUUCUUGGGCCGUUCCUGACGCUGAGGCGCGAAAGCUGGGGGAGCGAACGGG